UACGUAGGGGGCGAGCGUUGUCCGGAGUUACUGGGCGUAAAGGGCACGCAGGCGGUUCGGCAAGUUUGAGGUAACAGCUCCUGGCUUAACUGGGAGAGCGCCUUGAAAACUGUCGGACUGGAGGGCCAGAGAGGGACACAGAAUUCCGGGUGUAGUGGUGAAAUGCGUAGAUAUCCGGAGGAAUACCAAAGGCGAAGGCAGUGUCCUGGCUGGAACCUGACGCUGAGGUGCGAAAGCUAGGGGAGCGAACGGG
rnacentral:rRNA from 1 species